CAGCAGCCGCGGGAAUACGAAGGGUGCAAGCGUUAAUCGGAAUUACUGGGCGUAAAGCGUGCGUAGGCGGUCUGUUAAGUCUGUUGUGAAAUCCCCGGGCUCAACCUGGGAAUGGCAAUGGAUACUGGCAAGCUAGAGUGUGUCAGAGGAUGGUGGAAUUCCCGGUGUAGCGGUGAAAUGCGUAGAGAUCGGGAGGAACAUCAGUGGCGAAGGCGGCCAUCUGGGACAACACUGACGCUGAGGCACGAAAGCGUGGGGAGCAAACAGGAUUAGAUACCCCCGUAGUCCCUGUCUCUUAUAC
rnacentral:rRNA from 1 species